rnacentral:rRNA from 1 species
GACGAACGCUGGCGGCGUGCUUAACACAUGCCAGUCGAACGGAAAGGCCCCUUUGGGGGUCCUCGAGUGGCGAACGGGUGAGUAACACGUGAGUAACCUGCCCUUGACUUCGGGAUAACUUCAGGAAACUGGGGCUAAUACCGGAUAGGAAUCCUUGCUGCAUGGUGGGGGUUGGAAAGCUUCGGCGGUUUUGGAUGGACUCGCGGCUUAUCAGCUUGUUGGUGGGGUAGUGGCUUACCAAGGCUUUGACGGGUAGCCGGCCUGAGAGGGCGACCGGCCACAUUGGGACUGAGAGACGGCCCAGACUCCUACGGGAGGCAGCAGUGGGGAAUAUUGCACAAUGGGCGGAAGCCUGAUGCAGCAACGCAGCGUGCGGGAUGACGGCCUUCGGGUUGUAAACCGCUUUCAGCAGGGGCGAAGCUUGUGGUGACGGUACCUGCAGAAGAAGCACCGGCUAACUACGUG